UGUUGCAGCCAUAUCACCCUGCAGCCCAAGAUCGGUGACUCAUUGAAGCUAAGCAGGGCUGAUACUGGUCAGUACCUGGAUGGGAGACCACAUGGGAAAACUAGGUUGCUGUUGGCA
rnacentral:rRNA from 1 species